UCGACGGAAACAACAUGAAACUGGUUCGAGAUCCGUACUCUCUCAAGUUCUCUCACAAAUUUAACCCAGCCCCACCAAUUCUCUCUAAACACAAACCUCACCACCACCACCACCACCACCACCACCACCACUCCCUCAUGGCCUCCGCCACCGUAGACUCACCGUCCUCCGACCGCCUUCAACUCGAAUCAAUCCCCGCCGUCGAUCUCCGCCUCCUCUCCCAAUCGGAACUCUACGCCCUUUCCCUCUGCUCCGACGGAGCAUUCGAUCCACUCUGCGACGACGUUGUGAUUCCCAAAAUCGAUCGCUCCGUCUUCAACGAAUCCGCCGGCAGCCGCAAACAGACCUACUCUCGCCUCCGCCUCGCCCCUCGCAAGCCCGAAUCCGCCUCCUCCACCGCCACCACUUCCUCCAUCCCCCGCCGCACCCCUCACCUCCGUACCCUAAAAUCCGCCACCAAUCUCUCCGACGAUACCGAUCCCGAACGGGCCGAAAAUUCCCAAAUCAUCGGUCUCUUGAAAGAUCUUUUCGUAUCGGACAUUAAUAGCGACGAAUUAGUCCCAAUUCGUGUCGAAUACAGCGAUUCGCUUCCCAAUUUGCCGAAUGUGGGCAAUUACGGGGUGAAGCAUUUGCCGAAUGUGGGCAAUUAUGGGGUGAAGCGGAAGAGAGGGAGGCCGCGGAAGAAUGAAAAUCUGGCACUGGUGGCUGCUGAAGUGACUGAGGUGGUUCCCGUGGAGGUUCAGGACGAGGGCGGGGACGGUGUGAUUAAGGACAUUGUUGUGUAUGAGAAUGUUGAGGACAGGGAUAAGGAGAUUGUGAAUAAAAAUGGGAAUGUUGUUGAUUUGGCUGAGCUGGCGAGUUUGGAAGAUCCUUAUGGUGUUGAAUUGCAGAGGAGGACUGAGAAUUUGAAGACAGAGGAAGAGCUGUUAGGGUUUUUAAAGGAGUCGAAUGGACAGUGGGGAAGUAGGAGGAAGAAGAAGAAGAUUGUCGAUGCAAAUGAGUUUGGAGAUGCAUUGCCCAAAGGUUGGAAGCUCUUGCUUUCCCUCAAGAAGAAAGAAGGCCGUGUGUGGAUGUUUGUUCGUCGAUACAUAAGCCCUAAUGGACGGCAAUUUGUGACAUGCAAGGAAGUUUCCUCAUAUUUGCUUUCCCUCUUUGGAGUCCAAGAUUCACAUCAGCCAAACUGUGGUCAAAGCAAUGAGAAUAUUCAGUUGACUUGCAACAUGGCUUGCGAAAAUGCUGCAGAUCUUGCUGUCAAAGAAGUCAACAAAAGUGGAGACCUUGUUUGCCAUUCACCAUCGGUCAUUACUUGUGUCUCAAAUGAUCACGAGAAGCAAGUCACUUCAGAGGCUGGAAAUUCUGCGGAGAUCCAAAUGGGAGAUAUUUUAAAGUGUGACAGGUGCUCCAUGUCUUUCAAUGAGAAGGAUGGUUUGUUGCACCACCAAGUAUCAUCCCAUAGGAGAAAGAAAUCUAGAUUUGGUGCAUCCAUCACUGAUGGGGUGAUAAUCAAAGGUGGACAAUUUGAGUGCCAGUUCUGCCAUAAGACAUUCAAUGAAAGGAAUCGUUACAAUGGCCAUGUUGGGGCCCAUAAAAGACACCACAUGAAGAGUGAUGAAGCAUUGUCAGGAGCUCUGACCUUGCAAAAUAGUGUUAGCCUUUCAUCCUCAGAUGAAGUUCCCCCGAAGAAGUCUAUGAUGCAAACAUCCAUUGGAGAUGACUAUGAUGCUGCAACAUAUAAUACCAAUGCCGAUAGUGUACCGAAGCCUGUUUCUUCUCAAAGUAAACUUACAACUGGUUCAGAUAUAGAAAGUUAUAGUGACAGGUCUGGUCAUGAAGUAAAUGUUUUGCCUCAUGAUGAGCAGGAUGCAAAUUCCAUUGGAAAUGAAAGAAAUUUCGCUGAAGACCCUUGUGUAAAGCACGAUAGAGGCAAUAAGAUGGCCAAUUGUUUGGGUAGGGUUGAUGAGGCUAAUGAUGAUGUUACUGCUACAUUUAAUUUUUGUUUGGAUUCUGAAGUUGCUGUGUCUGGUAAUGAGAUUAACAGUAAUGGUGAGUGCACUGCAAACAGAGUUAACGAUCAAGUUGUUGGACAGGGAAGAAGUUUGGAAAGCUGUCCACAUUCUCCUUUUGCUAAUGAGAAAAUUUGUGGUGCUGAAAUUAAUGUGAAUGAGGACUCUAUUAUUUUAGAGGAGCCAAAUCAGGAAGCAGGUUUAGAAAGUGUUUCGCUUGCUCCCCUUGAGAAUGAAAAAUCGUGUGGUGUUGAAAACAUGGAGGAUGUGCAUGAACUUGAUACACUGAAAUUUGAUAGUAAACUAAUCCAUAGUUUUGGCAGUAGUCGUGCUGAACCAGAUGAGGAUUUUGUUACUGAAGGCAAGCAACAAAAUGGUUCUGGAGCCUGUUCACCCAUCCCAGUCAGUAAUGAUGAAAAAUGUGAUACUUCUAAUUACAUGAAUUCAUUUUCAACUUCUUCACUGGAAGAGUCCAAGCAAAAGAGAGAUUCUGAAAGAAGUGAUAAGGAAACAUGUGGUGUCAAGGAUAUUUACAGGGCUUCUGGUAGCUCAAUCUUCAAGACCAAGAUUGAUGCAACAAACAACAGUGGGAACAAGGAGGCAAUAGAUGAGGAUGCUAUAACUAGGGUUGAACAUGAGAAUUCUGAAAGAUAUUUGUUUGUUCCAUCUUGGAAAGAACAAUUAUGUGGUAUGAAAGAUAAUGAGAGUGUGGUUUCUGUUCGCACAAUGGAGGAACGAGUGCGGGAAAGAGGUUCUGAAGACAGUCUUCAUAUUCUAUCUGGUUAUGAACAAACCUGUGGUGUCAAAAAUGAUAUGGGUAAUAUUUCUACAAGGAAAAUGGAGGAGCUUAAGUUUGAUGAAGUUCAAACUUACAGGAAUAAUGAACUCGCUUUUGGCAUCAGUUACCCUAGACUGAACACACAGAAUAGAAAUCUUGAAUUUGGUUCACCUGUUCUGUCUGGGAAUGCGCAAGAAUUUGUUGAAGAAAAUGUAACUGGGGUUUGCAAUAGCACAGAGGAGCAUCCCAAGCAGAAAGGAAGUUUUGAUUGUGGUUUAUUUGCUCAGUCUUGUACAGGGAAAACUUUUGGUGAUGUAUAUAUGAUGAAUAGAGUUUCUACAAGGUCCAUCGAGGAACCCAAACCUGAAGUCCAAAACUUUAGCAAUAAUGAGCUAAUGAUUUCUUUUGGCAACAAUGGCACGGGCAUAGUUGCUGAUGUUAUGAAUAAUGUUCCUAUGCAUCAAACAUUUAGUUUCGAAGCUAAUCCGAGUAGGGAAAACAGCAGAAUAGGGAAGGAUGCGAAAGAGGAAAGUUGGUUACUUGGUCCAUCUUGUUUUCCCAAAACAUGCGCUGAUGAUAAUCAUUUGAGCAGGGUUCACGCUGUUGGAAUUUGGGAUGGGCCCAUGAUGGAUGAGGUUGUAAAUUCUGAGCAUGAUAAGUUAACUAUUGGUUUUGGCAGCAUUAAUACCCAAUCAGGUGGGAAUGUCAUGCCCGGCAAUAUGUGGAGACUUGAUGACGAAAUUGUCUUGCAGAGUACUUCAGCUGAUACUUCAACCCAGCAGCAGCAAUCUGCAGGUUGUUUUCCCACCUUCGGUAUGCUCUCAGAUAAGCAGGGUGAAAAUGAGCUCCUUGGAGUUGAUGGCAAGUAUGACAGCAUGUCAGGUUUUCAAGGGGCACAAUCAGGUCAUAUUGAACCUGUGGAAUUCAGUUUCCUGACCAUGCAAAAUUUGAAUUCUCUUCCAGGAGACUCCAAAUCUCUGUCCUAUAACACACAGAUGGACCAAGGGUUUGAUUCCUCAUUUUGGCUUGAAAAGGAUGCUUUAUCACUGAAUCUAGCUUCCAGGAAUCAGGUUACUUCUAUCUGUGUUUGGUGCAGAAAUGAAUUCCAUGGUGAGUCUCUACACCCUGGAACACAAACAGGUGGAAUCGGUUCCAUGUGUCCAACCUGCAGUGCAAAAGUUACGCAGCAAUUUAAUGUCUUCUAGAGUGGCUUGUCCUUGGAAACUCCAGCCGCAGCAAAGACUUGUUUCUCACAUUUUUCUUUGCUAUGUUGAUCUUGAAUUCUUGAUAUCAGGGGAAGAAGGAAACACAAGGGUAUCUUGGAGUGCAGAGCACCAAUCAUUAGAUCAAGGCUAUUUUAGGCAAGAAGGCUACUAAUGAAGUGGCUAGAUUUGGAGCACUUUGCACUUGCUUGGCAUUUAAGUAAUUGAUUGCAUCAUGAAGUAACUUGUACAAGUGCUGCAGGAAAGACAGUACAUAAGCGCAGGUGGAUCUUCAUAGAGCACUAGGUCCUCUUUUGCAAAUUGUUUUGUUUUGAUUCGAGUAUUAUUUGAAUUUCAUCUUGGAUCAUAGUUGUUGUCGGAUUUGUUAACCUUGCUAUAUAUCAACCAAGAAUUAAAAGGAGACAAGAAGAAAAGAUCAAACCCUAUGCUUUAAUCUCUCAGACAAAUUUACAAUAUUUUAUGAUCAUUGGAAACCAGUUUUAAUAUUUUAUC